rnacentral:rRNA from 1 species
AUUGAACGCUGGCGGCAUGCCUUACACAUGCAAGUCGAACGGCAGCAUAGGAGCUUGCUCCUGAUGGCGAGUGGCGAACGGGUGAGUAAUAUAUCGGAACGUGCCCUAGAGUGGGGGAUAACUAGUCGAAAGACUAGCUAAUACCGCAUACGAUCUACGGAUGAAAGUGGGGGAUCGCAAGACCUCAUGCUCCUGGAGCGGCCGAUAUCUGAUUAGCUAGUUGGUGGGGUAAAAGCCUACCAAGGCAACGAUCAGUAGCUGGUCUGAGAGGACGAACAGCCACGCUGGGACUGGGACACGGCCCAGACUCCUACGGGAGGCAGCAGUGGGGAAUUUUGGACAAUGGGGGCAACCCUGAUCCAGCAAUGCCGCGUGAGUGAAGAAGGCCUUCGGGUUGUAAAGCUCUUUUGUCAGGGAAGAAACGGUAGUAGCGAAUAACUACUACUAAUGACGGUACCUGAAGAAUAAGCACCGGCUAACUACGUGCCAGCCGCCGCAGUAA